UACAGAGGCCUCGAGCGUUAGGCGGAAUCACUGGGCUUAAAGCGUGUGUAGGUGGAUGCCUAAGUACCUUGUGAAAUCCCACGGCUUAACCGUGGAAUUGCUUGGUAUACUGGGUGUCUUGAGCCACUCAGGGGCGAGCGGAACAAACGGUGGAGCGGUGAAAUGCGUAGAUAUCGUUUGGAACGCCAAUGGUGAAAACAGCUCGCUGGGGGUGUGCUGACACUGAGACACGAAAGCCAGGGGAGCAAACGGG
rnacentral:rRNA from 1 species